AUCUAUUUAUUAUAUAAAUAUAUUCAACUUCCAAUUGAAAGAACCCAACGGGAAUA
rnacentral:tRNA from 1 species